UAAAGGAUACACCGGCUUAUGUCAUACACUAAGCUUAAAAUUCAAUAUGAAAUCUACUUUACCGUCAAGCUUAGCCGUUUGCCGUAAAAAAAAAAAUCUACUUUGAUCUUUGGAUUCUUUUCUUCCGUUUCAUAGUAUCAUUAAAAUAACUUUAUUUCAUUAUCUAUUACUAUAAAGUAUGGUAUCUUCACUCCUGUUGCGACAGCUAGGACGCCACGUCAGAAAUUCGAAGCCUGUACAUACGACACGUGUCCAAAAAGAUAAAACUCACCGUAUCAUUUAUUGUAGAAUUAUAUAGGCUUUUAUCCUGUGCUGCCAGAAGUUUUUUAGGCCUUUCUAAACUAAAAUUUGACCCAUUUGUAGACAGAAAACUUUACCUUCUUCCCUCUACACUUCUUGCCGUCAAAUUUCUUCAUCUGUUCAUCAGAAAAAAUUGAGGCGUAAAAAGCUGACUGAACCCAAUUGUCGUCAUUAACACACGCAUUAGCCAAAUCUCUCCACUCAUUCCACGAUUUAUCAAUGAAUGCAUAUCCCAUUAAUUUCUUUGAUCUCCAGUUAUAAUAAGUUAUGUUCUACCCCAUCAAAAUUCAUCAGUUCAAGCUUCUUAUUAGUGGGCUCUGAUGUUGGACUUGAAACGAGGAUCCUACAAGAAUAUUUAGACACAGAAUCUGAAACCGAGGAAGAUGAAGAACUGUGACUUACCCAGAAUCAAGAUCGUUAAAACAAAAUCAUAGUAAACCCUUUUCUCAGAUAUUGCAACUGUUCUUCAUUAAUAUUUUCUCAAAGUCCUCAUUAGCGACGCAUGUCACUAGAGCGAUAUGGAGGGCGACCGAGCAAGGGCGGAGAGCGACGGAGUAAGGAGAGCGACGGAGUAAACGGUGGAGAGAGAUAGAGAAAGUAGCAGGAGCAACAGAGCAAGGAUGGAGAGCGAUGGAACAAGGGGCGUUGAGCUGAUGGAGAAAGUGACCGAGAGGGCGAGAUGGACAGCUAUGGAACAAGCAACAGAGGGUGAGACGAGAGAUAGAAAACGCAAUCAUUGCAGUUCAAUGGUACAAGGGAGGUUGAUAGGCUCUCAGACAGGGUUCAUGCUUUCAAAGUUUCUGUACAUUAAGGGGUGAAAGAUCCUGUGGGGGAGUCUGACAUGACUACGUAGCUUCUCAUGAGCUGUUGCUCAAUCUCGAAGGCCUCCAAACAAUAUAGAAAGCUAGAGUAUAAUGAUGAUGCCGAGGAUAGUGUUUCAUCUCCUGCCUUUUUCAUCUGUUUCAUAAUCUAUGUUUAUACGAUAAGAAUGUCAACAACAGUGGUGAACGAUAUGCAUCACCUUCUUAUUUCUAAUGAGUUAUGAGACUUUCAAAUGAGUUGCAGUGACAUGAUUGGUGAUUUUGGUAGAUAUAUAUUGGGAUUUUAUAUAUAAUUUUUGUUCAGUUAA